rfam:Mesocricetus auratus contig003384, whole genome shotgun sequence.
GGAUGUGGGGAUGAGCUGGCUAUGACAUCUGCCACUCCUUUGAUCACCAGAAUUGAUUUGGCUGAUCUGGCUGGGUAGGCAGAUGUCUCCUUCCUCCCUCACUGUUUCAUGUGCAUUCCUCCCAAAUCUGCAUGCCUCAAAGUGGACAAACUUCCCCGAAUAGUCGCAAAGAGAGAGCUAAUUGGGAAUGGCAUGGGAGUAUGGGCAGGGGUCUGUAUUGGCUGUUAUUAACUUCCAGUUCCAGGCAAGUAUAUUAAAAUUCCUUCUCAAAAUAAAAUAAUAAAAAGCAGGGAGGUUAAAUAUAGCCU